UACGUAGGGUGCAAGCGUUAAUCGGAAUUACUGGGCGUAAAGCGUGCGCAGGCGGCUUUGCAAGACAGAUGUGAAAUCCCCGGGCUUAACCUGGGAACUGCAUUUGUGACUGCAUGGCUUGAGGGCGGUAGGGGCCGGUGGAAUCCCUGGUGUAGUGGUGAAAUGCGUAGAGAUCAGGGGGAACACCCGUGGCGAAGGCGGCCGGCUGGGCCGACCCUGACGCUGAGGCGCGAAGGCGUGGGGAGCAAACAGG
rnacentral:rRNA from 1 species